rnacentral:rRNA from 1 species
CUUGCCUCAUAUAAGAGGUCCAGCCUGCCCAGUGACAUUGUUCAACGGCCGCGGUAUCCUAACCGUGCGAAGGUAGCGUAAUCACUUGUUCUUUAAAUGAGGACUAGUAUGAAAGGCACCACGAGAGUCAUACUGUCUCCUUUCUCUAAUCAGUGAAACUAAUCUCCCCGUGAAGAAGCGAGGAUAAAAAUAUAAGACGAGAAGACCCUAUGGAGCUUAAAACAAUUAACACCUGCCCCUUAAUCCUUAAUUUCAGAAAAAUUUUCUACCUUGGCAUUAUGAUUAUUAGUUUUCGGUUGGGGUGACCACGGAACAAAAAACAACUUCCGCAAUGAAAGACACUCCCACUUAGUCAAGAGCUACAGCCCUACACAUCAACAAAUUGACACUAAUUGACCCAACAUGUUGAUCAAUGAAC